rnacentral:rRNA from 1 species
UAGCUACAGGCUUAACACAUGCAAGUCGAGGGGCAGCAUGGUCUUAGCUUGCUAAGGCCGAUGGCGACCGGCGCACGGGUGAGUAACACGUAUCCAACCUGCCGUCUACUCUUGGACAGCCUUCUGAAAGGAAGAUUAAUACAAGAUGGCAUCAUGAGUCCGCAUGUUCACAUGAUUAAAGGUAUUCCGGUAGACGAUGGGGAUGCGUUCCAUUAGAUAGUAGGCGGGGUAACGGCCCACCUAGUCUUCGAUGGAUAGGGGUUCUGAGAGGAAGGUCCCCCACAUUGGAACUGAGACACGGUCCAAACUCCUACGGGAGGCAGCAGUGAGGAAUAUUGGUCAAUGGGCGCAGGCCUGAACCAGCCAAGUAGCGUGAAGGAUGACUGCCCUAUGGGUUGUAAACUUCUUUUAUAAAGGAAUAAAGUCGGGUAUGGAUACCCGUUUGCAUGUACUUUAUGAAUAAGGAUCGGCUAACUCCGUGCCAGCAGCCGCGGUAAUACGGAGGAUCCGAGCGUUAUCCGGAUUUAUUGGGUUUAAAGGGAGCGUAGAUGGAUGUUUAAGUCAGUUGUGAAAGUUUGCGGCUCAACCGUAAAAUUGCAGUUGAUACUGGAUAUCUUGAGUGCAGUUGAGGCAGGCGGAAUUCGUGGUGUAGCGGUGAAAUGCUUAGAUAUCACGAAGAACUCCGAUUGC